AUUAAAUCCAACGGUGAGCUGCUCAUUAAAAAUGUUCAGCUGCGGCACGCUGGGAGGUACACAUGCACCGCUCAGACGAUUGUUGACAACUCCUCGGCUUCGGCUGACCUUGUGGUAAGAGGUCCUCCAGGCCCUCCCGGAGGUAUAAGAGUAGAAGAAAUUAAAGACACUGCUGUAGCACUUACCUGGAGUCGUGGAACAGACAAUCAUAGCCCUAUUUCUAAAUACACUAUCCAGUCAAAAACCUUUCUAUCUGAAGAGUGGAAAGAUGCCAAAACAGAACCAUCAGAUAUUGAAGGAAAUAUGGAAUCUGCUACAGUGAUUGAUUUAAUUCCGUGGAUGGAAUAUGAGUUCCGGAUAAUAGCAACAAACACUUUGGGGACAGGAGAGCCUAGUAUGCCAUCACAGAGAAUUAGAACUGAAGGCGCUCCUCCUAAUGUGGCUCCUUCUGAUGUCGGAGGAGGGGGUGGAAGCAAUCGAGAGUUGACAAUAACAUGGAUGCCUUUAUCAAGAGAAUACCACUAUGGCAAUAACUUUGGUUAUAUAGUGGCUUUCAAGCCAUUUGGUGAGAAAGAAUGGAGAAGAGUUACAGUUACUAAUCCUGAAAUUGGCCGGUAUGUCCACAAGGAUGAAUCAAUGCCACCUUCAACCCAGUAUCAAGUAAAAGUGAAAGCUUUUAACAACAAAGGGGAUGGACCGUUCAGUCUCACUGCUGUCAUUUAUUCAGCACAAGAUGCUCCAACUGAAAUACCUACAGAUGUGAGCGUAAAAGUUUUGUCAUCUUCUGAAAUGUCUGUUUCUUGGCACCAUGUUUCUGAUAAAUCUGUGGAAGGAUAUCAGAUUCGUUACUGGGCUUCUCAUGAUAAAGAAGCAGCUGCACAGCGGGUACAAGUGAGCAAUCAAGAAUAUUCAACCAAACUGGAAAACCUGAAGCCUAAUACUCGCUACCAUGUAGAUGUUUCUGCCUUCAAUAGUGCAGGCUAUGGACCUCCCAGUAGAACCAUCGAUAUUAUUACCAGGAAAGCACCUCCAAGCCAACGUCCAAGAAUUAUCAGUUCUGUAAGAUCUGGUUCAAGGUACAUCAUCACCUGGGAUCAUGUGAAGGCAAUGUCAAAUGAGUCUGCAGUUGAAGGAUACAAAGUACUGUAUAGACCAGAUGGACAACAUGAAGGCAAGUUGUUUUCAACUGGAAAGCACACAAUAGAGGUCCCAGUCCCCAGUGAUGGUGAAUACGUUGUUGAGGUCCGAGCACACAGUGAAGGAGGAGAUGGAGAAGUAGCUCAAAUAAAAAUUUCAGGUGCCACUGCUGGAGUACCGACUCUCCUCCUGGUCCUGGUGGUGCCUACCCUGGGUGUCCUCGCCUGCUCGGGAUUCUGAAUGUAGCUGGAUUUACCUUGUCCUCCGCCUAACACAAAGGAUGCCCUUUGAAGAUGAGGACCACGACUCUUUUUGACUCCUGUGGCACCACCCUAAGCCAAAUAAAUUACACUUUAAAAUAAAUUACCCUACCGAUUUCCUAUGAACUUUAAGAGGACUGAGGCAUCCAGGAACUCCUUCAUGAAGUAAAUCAACUUUUGAAAGGCUAAGAAAUAUUUUUAACUUGUUCCAAUAUGCCUUAUAAAACACUUAUGCUGAUCUGUGACAGUUGCAUGAUUCGGUCCAAUGGGGCAAGUUACAGUGUUAAAACCCAAUAACAUAGGCUGUACAGUGAAAGUAAAAUCACCAUACGUAGGUGCUUUAACUUGAAUAACAAAUUGUGAAAUAUAAUAGAGAUUGAAAUGUUGAUUGUAUGUGAUAAAUGUAAGAGUACUACGUCUGUCUGUACUAUCCUAUAUGUUUUGUGUACCGCAUAUUUUUGAAUGGCCCCAUCAUCAUUUAUUGGGAUUACUGGUUUUUAGAGAGACAGUCAAAGCAAAAACAUUUCAUUUUUUUAGAGCUAUAUUUCUUGAGGCUAUUGGAUAGAAUUUGAAGGACUUGAAAUAAAAGUCAGUGACAAGGAAUUUUUUAUUUUAAAGAUGUUCAGAACACCCGAGACAUGCGUAGCUUGCUCAGCUUAAAGGAAUUUACCUGUACUUCACUGACACGAGUUUUACCAUAUUCUUUUCUUAAAACAAUUCUGUUGAAAAAUUCCGUUAUGGUCGUUGUUGCUGAUUUUAGGAGUGAAAUGUCAGCUUUCAGGGAAGCAGCGUAAUGUAUUGGUUUUGCUUUAGUAUUAUUACUAUGAUUAUUAUUAUUAUUAUUAAGGUAGCAAUAUAACACUUAGGAGUUUGGAGAUGGAGUCCAUGUUAAGAUCAGCCUAGUGGACCAUGAAAUGGUAGGAAACGUAUGUUAUUUUUUAAAAUGCAAAGAUUUAAAAUAUAAAAAAAGAAAAAGAUAUACAAUAAAUGGCAAAAACAGAGUAGCACAGUAAAAAAAUUAUUAUAUUUACAUUUUUAUGCUGCAGAUGCCCAGUGUUACCUUCCUGUAGUGAAGGUGUACAUUUGGGAGAAUUAUAUGCUUUUUCAAGAACUUGAUAUUAUUCUAAUGUUCAUAGUGUUGUAAAUAAGAGUUUUAAAGUUCUGAGACCGUCUCCCUAUUUGAUAGAGUACUGAAUGAUCCAACUGUGUGUUAAUACAUGAAAGUCAGAUCCCAACUGUUAGUCAAAUCUAAAUGUUUACUAUGGCCUUUUCAAACUGGGAACUCUAUUAGAGAUAGAGAAUGUUUUUGUUCUGACUGUGUCUAGAGUGUUUCAGUGUUGGGUUUUUUGUUGGCUUGUUUGGGGUUUCUUUAAGUUGUUAAAGAAAUGCACAUUCCUUUCAUUUUUCAUGGUGUGCUGGGAAUUAGUUUGAGUGUGAAUGUUGAAGAAACACAGUGAUAUUGAAUCAGCUGGCUCAAGUAAUAGUGCAAUGUCUGAUGCUUCAAGAAUUAUAAGCUUUGAAUCAUAUUUUGUUAGCACAACCUUGCUAGCUACUUAGAAAUAGAUUUUAUCUUUUUAGAACUGAUACUGUAGAGGUCCGUAAUAAUAAUAUUUACAUGAAGCAAGAAUACGUCUAUUAAUAAUUCUCACCCCCUUCUUUUAUUUGUAUAAUUUUGUACUAUAUAUUUACAUGUAAAAGCGUAGAGUCUUCAUCAAGAAAUAUCAAUAAUGCUGUUUUAGUUUAAUUUUAACUAUUUGUUACAAGAUGAAAAUUUUUUAAAUAGGUGAAAGUGAUAACUUCCCUAUAGAGGAAUGUCAAAGUGUCAAACACUACUGAGUUUCAUAAAUUGUAUAAUUAUUUGAAAGAGAAAUGAGCUGUCUUCAUACAUAAGAAACUAAUACGCUGUAAGCCUUCUGUACAAAAAAAAAAAAGUGGUUUAUUGUGUUUCAUUUGGUUUGGUUUUUUUGCAGUAUGACUCAUUUUUAUAUAAUCUACAACCACAGCUAAAUCCUUUGCCAAAUGCAUGAUUGCCUUUUACUUUUCUAAUACAUGGUGUAAAAAGCAAAACUGUUUAGUUUUUGCAUGGAAAUGACCGGGGAAGGAAAGCCACUUCUCUUUUUUAAAUCAGCAACACAGAUGAGGUAGGUCUCGAAUACUGACCAGAUAGUUGGAGAUCUUUCUGUUUCACAUAAUUGUGUAAAUUUGGCUGGGACCUUCAGUUUCAAAUUGUUGUCCAGAAAAACUAACUAAAGUUAUCUGUUUUAAAACGCAAGGUUCUUAAUUAAAGUUUAUAUAGAUAGACAUAUUUGUUGUUUCUUUAUAUUUCAGGAAACUUGAUAUUACUAUGAUUUGAUACUGAUGAAUAUUGAACUGUUUUUUUAGUUACUUUUUAUCUUUUUUUUUUUUCAAAUGAGUAGAGCAGGACCGUGCUUUGUCCUUUUUAUGAACGAAAAGUAAAUUACGAUUAAAUAAAUGUAUUAAUGUUA